rnacentral:rRNA from 2 species
AAUAGGAUAGUGGAAUUCCAAGUGUAGCGGUGAAAUGCGUAAGAUUUUGGAGGAACACCAGUGGCGAAGGCGACUGUCUGGUCUGUAACUGACACUGAGGCGCGAAAGCGUGAGUAGCAAACAGGAUUAGAUACCCUGGUAGUCCACGCCGUAAACGAUGAGUGCUAAGUGUUGGGGGGUUUCCGCCCCUCAGUUGCUGCAGCUAACGCAUUAAGCACUCCGC